AAAGCUUCUGGUACCUGCCCUUUGGACAGCUGCGGGCAAGCUCAGCCUCGUGUGGAUCCAGCUUGUCCAUAAAGCCUGCCUUGCUCCAAAGCAUCUGACUGUAAAGACUGGUCACCUAUACCUGUGAUUUGUGGGCCUGAAGAAAACCAUCCAUCCUUGCAAAUGUCUUCUGCUGAGAUGCCUCACACAGAGACUGUCUCUCCUCUUCCUUCCUCCAUGGAUCUGCCUAUUCAGGACAGCCAUGAUUCUUCCACCAGUCCCAAAGGCAAACAACCCACUACUGCAGAGAAGAGUGCCACAAAAAAGGAAGACAAGGUCCCGGUCAAGAAACAGAAGACCAGAACUGUGUUCUCUUCCACCCAGCUGUGUGUACUCAAUGAUAGAUUUCAGAGACAGAAAUACCUCAGCCUCCAGCAGAUGCAAGAACUUUCCAACAUCCUGAACCUCAGCUACAAACAGGUGAAGACCUGGUUCCAGAACCAGAGAAUGAAAUCUAAGAGGUGGCAGAAAAACAACUGGCUGAAGAAUAGCAAUGGUGUGACGCAGGGAUGCCUGGUGAACCCGACUGGGAACCUUCCAAUGUGGAGCAACCAGACCUGGAACAAUUCAACCUGGAGCAACCAGACCCAGAACAUCCAGUCCUGGAGCAACCACUCCUGGAACACUCAGACCUGGUGCACCCAAUCCUGGAACAAUCAGGCCUGGAACAGUCCCUUCUAUAACUGUGGAGAGGAAUCUCUGCAGUCCUGCAUGCAGUUCCAGCCAAAUUCUCCUGCCAGUGACUUGGAGGCUGCCUUGGAAGCUGCUGGGGAAGGCCUUAAUGUAAUACAGCAGACCACUAGGUAUUUUAAUACUCCACAAACCAUGGAUUUAUUCCUAAACUACUCCAUGAACAUGCAACCUGAAGACGUGUGAAGAUGAGUGAAAUUGAUGUUACUCAGUUUCAGUCUGGACACUGGCUGAAUCCUUCCUCUCCCCUCCUCCCAUCCCUCAUAGGAUUUUUCUUGUAUGGAAACUACGUGUUCUGGUUUCCAUGAUGCCUAUCCAGUCAAUCUCAUGGAGGGUGGGGUAUGGUUGGAGCCUAAUCAGAGAGGUUUCUUUCUUUUUUCCUAUUGGAUCUUUCCUGAGAAAAGAUAUUUUAAUAACCUUGGCUGCUAAAGACAACUUGAUAGAAGCUGUCUCUGGCUAUAGAUAAGUAGAUGUAAUACUAGUUUGGAUAUCUUUAGGGUUUAGAAUCUAACCUCAAGAAUGAGAAAUAAGCUGGGCGCGGUGGCUUACAUCUGUAAUCCCAGCACUUUGGGAGACCAAGGCGGGCGGAUCACGAGUGAGACUCUGUCUCAAAAAAAAAAAAAGAAAAAGAAAAAGAAAAGGAAAUAAAAGUACAAAUUGGUGUGAUGAAGAUAUAUUCCUAUUGUUUGGGAUUGGGAGGCUUUGUUUAUUUUUUUAAAAACUCUAUUGAGGCUGGGUGUGGUGGCUCACACCUGUAAUGGCAGCACUUUGGGAGGCCAAGGUAGGCAGAUCACCACAGGUUAGGAAUUCAAGACCAGUCUGGCCAACAUGGUGAAAUCCCGUCUCUACUAAAAUACAAAAAUUAGCUGGGCAUGGUGGCAGGCGCCUGUAAUCCCAGCUACUCGGGAGGCUGAGCGGAGAUGGUGCCACAGCAAUCCAGCCUGGAUGACAGAGCCAGACUCCAUGUCAAAAUAAAAUAAAAACUCUAUUGAGGUGAAGGGUGAAGCUUUAAGUUGUUACAUACUUCACUGAUUUCCUCAACCCUUUUUGGCUCCGUUUUACUAUAGCCCGUAUUUUGUUGGUUAUGACUAAUAUUUGUGGAAAGAGGUCUUGUGUUUAGUGCAUUAUAAUGGCAUCAGUACUACUUCGGCUGGUUUAAGUACUAAUGAAUAAAACAACCAUUUUUCCUUCAGUUGACUUUGGCCUGAUUUCUCCUAGUGUUUCAAUCAGUAAAAAUACAGCUUAAACAUAAA
ensembl:lncRNA novel transcript